rnacentral:rRNA from 1 species
GACGUAGGGCGCGAGCGUUGUCCGGAUUUAUUGGGCGUAAAGAGCUCGUAGGCGGCUUGUCGCGUCGACCGUGAAAACUUGGGGCUCAACCCCAAGCCUGCGGUCGAUACGGGCAGGCUAGAGUUCGGUAGGGGAGACUGGAAUUCCUGGUGUAGCGGUGAAAUGCGCAGAUAUCAGGAGGAACACCAGUGGCGAAGGCGGUGAUCUGGGCCGAUACUGACGCUGUAGAGCGAAAGCGUGGGGAGCGAACAGG